rnacentral:tRNA from 1 species
GGUGGCUCAGUGGUAGAGCGCUUGCCUCACAUGCCUGAGGUCCUGGGUUCGAUUCCUCAGCACCA